AACGAACGCUGGCGGCAGGCUUAACACAUGCAAGUCGAGCGCCCCGCAAGGGGAGCGGCAGACGGGUGAGUAACGCGUGGGAAUCUACCCAUCUCUACGGAAUAACGCAUGGAAACGUGUGCUAAUACCGUAUACGUCCUUCGGGAGAAAGAUUUAUCGGAGAUGGAUGACCCCGCGUUUGAUUAGCUAGUUGGUGGGGUAAAGGCCUACCAAGGCGACGAUCCAUAGCUGGUCUGAGAGGAUGAUCAGCCACACGGGGACUGAGACACGGCCCAGACUCCUACGGGAGGCAGCAGUGGGGAAUAUUGGACAAUGGGCGCAAGCUUGAUCCAGCCAUGCCGCGUGAGUGAUGAAGGCCCUAGGGUUGUAAAGCUCUUUCACCGGUGAAGAUAAUGACGGUAACCGGAGAAGAAGCCCCGGCUAACUUCGUGCCAGCCGCCGCGGUAAUAC
rnacentral:rRNA from 1 species